UAUAUGUAUUACCUGAAAGCUGAGGGCAGUUGUUGCCUUGGAUCAUGCAGAGAGUAUGCAGCCACACCCAUGCCUUAGAUGUGUGUAAUUCAAGUGGAGAAGACACAAGCCAGUGGUCACAAUAUCAACACUUGAGUGUUCUGUAAACGAUUGUUUGCCAUGUGCAAGGAAAUGGCAGAGGCAAAAUGCCGGCAGCUUAUGGAAAAAUAAUUUAUAAAAAAAAUGAUGGAUUAGUUCUGCCAAAUUUGAGAUUGGUGUCAGCAGAAAACCAACAGUGAUGUGGUGGCACACAGUGAACUGACCAGACCCAGGCAGCAGCAGCUCUUUUGGUGGCACGUCAUGGGUACUCUCCUUGCUAAUGGCAGAUACCGACAGGCAAACUGUUACCUUGCGUUUAGCUCUGUUAGCCAUUGACAGUAAGAUUUAUCAGAGGUUGCAGCCACACAUGGCCAUGAGGUAAACCCUGCCCCUGGCUGAACUUGAGUUUCAUCAGCUUCUACGUGGGAUUGGAAGGACUUGGAAUAUAUCACAAACCCAGCAGGGUUCCCCCCUCUUUUUUUUUUUUUUUUUUUUUAAGAUUGAUUUUUCUUCCUAAAGAUAACAUGCUUAAACAAAGUUCUUUAUGGUUAGUAACUGUGAUGCUUGAAGUUGGUUAUCCCUUACUCCAGUAAAUUUUAAAUGUCAAAGAUAUCUUGUUAAAUAAAAAAAAAGUAUC
rnacentral:lncRNA from 1 species